CGCGGGCGACGGACGAUCGGACGAGGCGCGCGAGGCUCGGAGAUGCCACUUACUCCGGUGGCUUUUAAAAAGCUGCAGCUCGCGAUGGAGAGAUUCAAAACCCAGCCCGACGGAAAAGGAGAGGGGCAGGCUGAGCAGCUCCGUGCGCAGAGCCUCUUCAUCACAGCUCCCAGCUCCUCUGUCUCUCCAGGUGUGAGCUGAGCUCCGAACACAUGUGCGGUGAGGAGAGACCCUCCAGUGCGCAUGCAGGGACACACGAGCUUCGCAUGCUAUACCUCCUUCAUUCGACAAUCCAAGUAAAAGAAAAGGAUCUGAUAAGAUCCACAGGCUGAGCUCUCAUCUGUCUCCCAGGAUGAGACAUGUGGCAGUGGCACACUCUCCAGGUCAACUUGUGGCACCACCCUGACCAAACCAAUUGGUCAGAGCCAACACUUGACAUAAAUCUAGAAUUCAUAAUGUCAGACCCCUCAGAAACUUCAGCCCAGACAUUAAAGAGAGAUCCUCCCAAGAUUUAUUUUUUAAAUGUGAAUAUUUUUGCACAGUUUUUACAAAAAUUAUGAACCAUAGAUUCUGCUUUAAAACCUUCUGUGAACGCUCAUCAAUAAAGAUCUGUCAGGGAAA